AUACGGAGGGUGCAAGCGUUAUUCGGAAUCACUGGGCGUAAAGGACGCGUAGGCGGGUUGGCAAGUCAGAUGUGAAAUCCUACAGCUUAACUGUAGAACUGCAUUUGAAACUGCUAACCUAGAGUAUGGGAGGGGGAGAUGGAAUUAGUGGUGUAGGGGUAAAAUCCGUAGAUAUCACUAGGAAUACCGAAAGCGAAGGCGAUCUCCUGGAACAUAACUGACGCUAAGGCGUGCAAGCGUGGGGAGCAAACAGGAUUAGAAACACUUGUAGUCC
rnacentral:rRNA from 1 species